UACUGCUAUCGGUGUUCGACUAAGCCAUGCUAGUUAAAUGUUCUUCGUGAACAUAGCGGACUGCUCAGUAACACGUGGACAAUCUGCCCUUGGGUUCAGCAUAACCCCGGGAAACUGGGGAUAAUUCUGAAUAGAUCACAUAUGCUGGAAUGCUUUGUGAUUAAAAGAUCCGUCGCCCAAGGAUGGGUCUGCGGCCUAUCAGGUUGUAGUGGGUCUAGAGUACCUACUAGCCAACGACGGGUACGGGUUGUGAGAGCAAGAGCCCGGAGAUGGAUUCUGAGACAUUAAUCCAGGCCCUACGGGGCGCAGCAGGCGCGAAACCUUUACACUGCGGGAAACCGCGAUAAGGGGACACCGAGUGCCAGCAUACAAUGCUGGCUGUCCACAUGUGUAAAUAGCAUGUGAUAGCAAGGGCCGGGCAAGACCGGUGCCAGCCGCCGCGGUAACACCGGCGGCCCGAGUGGUAAUCACUAUUAUUGGGUCUAAAGGUCCGUAGCCGGUUUAAUCAGUCUUCCGGGAAAUCUGACAGCUCAACUGUUAGGCUACCGGGGGAUACUGUUAGACUUGGGA
rnacentral:rRNA from 1 species